AACGAACGCUGGCGGCAUGCCUAACACAUGCAAGUCGAACGAGACCUUCGGGUCUAGUGGCGCACGGGUGCGUAACGCGUGGGAAUCUGCCCUUGGGUUCGGAAUAACAGUUGGAAACGACUGCUAAUACCGGAUGAUGACGUAAGUCCAAAGAUUUAUCGCCCAAGGAUGAGCCCGCGUAGGAUUAGCUAGUUGGUGAGGUAAAGGCUCACCAAGGCGACGAUCCUUAGCUGGUCUGAGAGGAUGAUCAGCCACACUGGGACUGAGACACGGCCCAGACUCCUACGGGAGGGAGCAGUGGGGAAUAUUGGACAAUGGGCGAAAGCCUGAUCCAGCAAUGCCGCGGGAGUGAUGAAGGCCUUAGGGUUGUAAAGCUCUUUUACCCGGGAUGAUAAUGACAGUAACGGGAGAAUAAGCACCGGCUAACUCCGUG
rnacentral:rRNA from 1 species